rnacentral:rRNA from 1 species
UACAGAGGGUGCGAGCGUUGUUCGGAAUUACUGGGCGUAAAGCGCGCGCAGGCGGAUCCUGUAAGUCUGAAGUGAAAUCUCACUGCUCAACGGUGAGACUGCUCUGGAUACUGCGGAUCUUGAGACCGGUAGAGACUGGUAGAAUUGCAGGUGUAGCGGUGGAAUGCGUAGAGAUCUGCAAGAAUACCCGUGGCGAAGGCGGCAUCCUGGACCAUAACUGACGCUGAGGCGCGAAAGCUAGGGGAGCAAACAGG